rnacentral:rRNA from 1 species
GAUGAACGCUGGCGGUAUGCUUAACACAUGCAAGUCGAACGGUCACUUCGGUGAUAGUGGCGGACGGGUGAGUAACGCGUGAGAAUCUGUCUUCAGGUCGGGGACAACAGUUAGAAAUGACUGCUAAUACCGGAUGUGCCGAAAGGUAAAAGAUUUAUUGCCUGAGAGAGAGCUCGCGUCGGAUUAGCUAGUAGGUGGUGUAAGAGACUACCUAGGCGACGAUCUGUAGCUGGUCUGAGAGGACGAUCAGCCACACUGGAACUGAGACACGGUCCAGACUCCUACGGGAGGCAGCAGUGGGGAAUUUUCCGCAAUGGGCGAAAGCCUGACGAAGCAAUACCGCGUGAGGGACGAAGGCUUUUUGGGUCGUAAACCUCUUUUAUUAGGGAAGAUUUCAGGACGGUACCUAAUGAAUAAGCAUCGGCUAACUCUGUGCCAGCAGCCGCGGUAAU